UGGAUUUUUGGGAUAGAAACCCUGGUGCACCCCAUCGAAAAAAGAGAGAGCCUAUAUCGGCCAUCACUCUUGCAGUUCUCUUUGGGUUAGGGACAUCAGGGACAGGCACAGGCAUCGCUUCUCUUGUGACCUCCCAACAAAUUCAACAACACUAUCAUUUACUCAGCACUACAAUUGACCAGGACCUAGAUGAACUGAGAGAGGGCUUAGCCAAUUUAAAAGAUUCUGUUGCCUCCCUUUCAGAAGUAGUACUGCAAAAUAGAAGAGGGCUUGAUUUGCUCUUCCUACAACAAGGAGGACUUUGUACAGCCUUAAAAGAGGAAUGCUGUGUUUAUGUAGAUAAGACUGGACUUAUAGAAGAGUCUAAGAAAAGUGAGAGAUAGCCUAGAAAAAUGAAAGAGAGAAUGAGAACAAGAGUCCUGGUAUAAAAACUGGUUUUCUACAUCCCCAUGGCUCUCUACCCUGUUGCCUUUGCUUUUAGGACAACUUGUGGGCCUGCUUCUAUUGAUUUCCUUUGGUCCUUGGGCCUUUCAGUGACUUACAUGCUUUAUUAAAUCACAAAUUUCUGCUUUGCCUAGAAAUUCUGUUUCAGUACAUUAUCAUCCCUUGGGGACCAGAACAGUUGAGGAGAACCAGAGAGACGACAAGAUGAGGUGCCCAAAACAUAUCGGGAGAGGCUCAACUUCCACAAUCUCCUAAACUAAUGCCAUCUGGCCCCUACUCUUUCGCCCCUGGGCUCAAGUGAGAGGA
rnacentral:lncRNA from 1 species